rnacentral:rRNA from 1 species
AUUGAACGCUGGCGGCAGGCCUAACACAUGCAAGUCGAGCGGUAGAGAGGUGCUUGCAUCUCUUGAGAGCGGCGGACGGGUGAGUAAUGCCUAGGAAUCUGCCUAGUGGUGGGGGAUAACGUUCGGAAACGGACGCUAAUACCGCAUACGUCCUACGGGAGAAAGCGGGGGAUCUUCGGACCUCGCGCCAUUAGAUGAGCCUAGGUCGGAUUAGCUAGUUGGUGAGGUAAUGGCUCACCAAGGCGACGAUCCGUAACUGGUCUGAGAGGAUGAUCAGUCACACUGGAACUGAGACACGGUCCAGACUCCUACGGGAGGCAGCAGUGGGGAAUAUUGGGCAAUGGGCGAAAGCCUGAUCCAGCCAUGCCGCGUGUGUGAAGAAGGUACUUCGGAUUGUAAAGCACUUUAAGUUGGGAGGAAGGGCAGUAAGUUAAU